GCGCCUGGAUUGGCCCAUCCAUUUCCCCCGCCCGCCGACAGGGGGCGGGUUGGGGGAGGGGACGUGCCUGGGACUGGAACCCUGAGCCCGCAGGGAGCGAGGGCAGCGUGCGCGUGCGCGUGGGGAGCGUGCCUGUAGCUGGGACCCGAAGGGCGCGUUGUUGUUUGGCUGAGGCCGGGUGUGGGGGAGGGUCUGUCUCUGGCCAGGCCCGGGGAGGAGGCUCGUGCCGGGCCGGGCCCAGAGCGGGGUCUGUGUUGGGCUGAGCGCCAGUGGCCGGGGCUGUGUCUGGCUAGGCUCGCUAUGGGCCCAGGCCAGGCCACUGUGACUUACCAGCAAGCUGCUCUGCAGCCGCAGGGAUUGGAGCUAGAUCACUCCCAGAGAAGAUGGCAACUCUCUGCCUCGGAAACUGGAGACUAUGGCUGCAUCCACGCUGUACGCUCAUUGGUGGUGGCGUGUUGGAUGUUUAGAAUUGAUGACACUGCUCAUUCACACAUGACUAACAUAGAAGAUUCCUCAAGAACAAACUACUCCACCCAGCUCCACUAGUAAGGACAUGUGUCACUGCACUGCUGCUGAAGUGCCAUAAAAAGCAGCCAUUGUGAUAUCUCCCAGGAUUGGCCUGUGUCCCAUUUACACAGGAGUAGUGAUGACAUCACAAAUUAGGGAUGACAGGAGGCGUAAUGUCGUAAGGGGAGGGAUUUAUCAUUUCAUUUUAGCAGCAGGAAAGGAGUGACAUCACAAUAGAAGCUACUGAGUUCACAGCAUGAGGGAGAAUCUUGAUAUGGCAUGAUAUCCCAGAAACAAAGGGUUGGAAGGUGUUGUGGAACGUCACAGCAGCAGUGAGAGGCAGUUCAGAGAAGGAAGAAAGUCUCAGCUCAGUUGCUCCAGGGCUGGGUUCUCACGCUGCAGCUUAACAAUGAUGGUUUUUACUUUUCCUGUGAUUCUUUGUAAUCAUCCCCACCUAUUCUGCAAAAUUUUGCAUUUAGAUUUUGUAAACCUUUGAAACAUUCCUUUCCAUCCCUUCUCUUUCCUGGCCUUCUUCCCAAGCUACUGGUACGCCAGGCUUUUGUGACUGGUAUUCCUCUCUCCAAACCCUACCCAGUGUUGACAAUUCUCACAAUAAUUAGUGUUGAAUGAAUACAUGAGAAUCUCAGCUUUCAUUUGAAGGGGAAGAAAUACCUUUGUAUCCCUCACAGUUGUGGAGAAAAGGCUGACAAUGUUACCCUAAUGGAAAAGGCUCAGAAAUCAUAAGGGGAGGGGAAAGAACUCCAGAUAAUUUUUAAACUCUUUAUUUUUAAGCCAGUCUCAUGAU